GCUGGGCAUGGUGGUGCAUGCCUGUAAUCCUAGCGGCUCAGGAGGCUGGGGCAGGAGGAUCACGAGUUCAAAGCCAGCCUUAGCACUGGCAAGGUGCUAAGCAACUCAGUGAGACUCUGUCUCUA
rnacentral:sRNA from 1 species